rnacentral:lncRNA from 1 species
GAUGGCCACACUGCAGGAGAGUGAAGUCUAAGUGGAUGGCCAGCUGAAACUAAGCAAGAAUGAGCUGAAGAGGUGUCUGAAAGCUGAGAAGAAACUGGCAGAGAAAGAGGCCAAGCAGAAAGAGCUCUGUGAGAAACAGCUAAAGCAGACUGCUUGUGCCACGACCAACCACACUGAUGACAAUGGUGUGGGUGCUGAGGAGAAGACUCUGGACCCAAAUCAAUACUACAAGAUCCACAGCCAAGCAGUCCACACCUGAAGGUCAGUGGGGCAGAACCCGCACACACACAAGUAACAUGUGGACGGACAGCUCACUCACUCAGUUCAUCCAAGAAUACAGUCACCUGCAGCCUGGGACCACCUGACUGAUGUUACCCUCAAAGUGGCAGGUCACAUCCAUGCCAAGAGAGCCUCUGGGGGAAAGUUCAUCUUCUAUGACCUUUGAGCAGAGGGUGUCAAGUUACAAGUGAUGGCCAACUCCAGGAAUUAUAAAUCAGAAGAGGAAUUUGUUCACAUAACUAACAACCUGCGCCAGGGAGACAUAAUUGGAGUUGAGGGGAAUCCUGGGAAAACCACGAAGGGUGAGCUGAGCAUCACCCUAGGAGAUCACACUGCUGUACAUGCUGCCUCAUUGUCACUUUGGUCUCAAAGACAAGGAAACACAGUAUCACCAGAGAUACUUGGACUUGAUCCUAAACGACUUUGUGAGGCAGAAAUUUAUCGUCUGCUCUGAGAUCAUCACAUAUAUAAGAAGUUUCUUGGAUGAGCUAGGAUCCCAAGAGACUGAAACUCCCAUGAUGUGUUCGUCACUGGGGAGCUGUGGCCAAACCUUUCAUCACCUAUCACAAUGAAUUGGACAUGAACUUGUAUAUGAGAAUUGCUCCAGAAUUCUACCACAAGAUGCUGGUAGUUGUGCCACUGGCCACGCUUAUGAAAUUGGGUGCCAGUUAUGGAACGAAGGGAUUGAUUUGACUCACAAUCCUAUUCACCACCUUUGAGUUCUACAUGGCCUAUGCAGACUAUCAUGACCUCAUGGAAAUCAUAGAGAAGAUGCUGUCAGAAAUGGUGAAAAACAUUACAGGCAGUUAAAAGAUCGCCUACUACCCAGAUGGGCCAGAAGGCCAAGCCUAAAAGACUGACUUCACCCUACCAAAGCCAUCAGCACGGUAGAAGAGGUUGAGAAAGCCCAAGGUGUGAAGCUGCCACAAACAAGUCUCUUUGAAAUUGAAGAAACUCGAAAAAUUCUUGAUGAUAUUUGUGUUGCAAAAGAUAUUGAAUGGCCCCCACCUCGGCCCACAGCCAGGCCCCUUGAUAAGCUUGUUGGAAAGUUCCUCCAAGUGACAUGAUCAGUCCUACACUCAUCUGUGGUCACUCACAGAUCAUGGGUCCUUUGGCCAAAUGGCACUGCUCCCAAGAGGGUCUCAGUGAGUGCUUUGAGCCAUUCGUCAUGAAGAAGGGGGAUGUGAUGCCCACACUGAGCUGAAUGACCCUGUGUGGCAGCGACAGCUGUUUGAAGAACAAGCCAAGGCCCAGGCUGCUGGUGAUGACGAGGCCAUCUUCAUAGACGAGAACUUCUGCACUGCCCUGGAAUAUGGGCUGUCCCCCACAGUCGGCUGGGGCAUGAGGAUCGAUCGACUUACUAUGUUUCUCACAGAUUCCAACAAAAUCAAGGAAGUACUUCUGUUUCCUGCCACGAAGCCUGAAGACAAGAAGGAAACUGCAAUGGCCACUAAAACCUCAGAGAGCAAGCACAGAGACCAGCCCCUCUGUCUAGAAGAUACAUG